rnacentral:lncRNA from 1 species
GACGACAAACUUUUGUCUCCUUCUAAUAGUCGCUACAACAUUAAAAUAUCUUCCGGUGUGAUUGUAACUGAUCGUAACUGCCAGGCUAUUGCAUUAACAUCUGUUAUUUAUGAAGGUGUUCAAGAGGAAAGUCACGGUUGAUGCGUAAUUUCGGUAUAAUGUCUAAACACUGCACUACGUACCAACGAAGUUCUUCUAUGCUUCUUCAUUUUAGUCGCCUUUUUGAAGCCUUGGGGGACAUAUUCUCACGAAAUCCGGUUCUACUGGUUUGGUGUUAGAUACGAAGGUUGUCACGUUCUCAAAGGAGAUGAUAUUUAUUACUUCAAAUUGGUUACAAAAUACACCAUAACUCUCGCAUAAUUUAUGACUGUACCGAUGGUGUUGACGACGCAUCCCGUGAAUAUAUCUCUCUCAUAUAAUAUUAUACAUACGAGAGCAAUACGAGAGACCAGGUGUAUUUAAAUAUUCAUAUGCAAUGUAUCACGAAUCAUACAUCAGUUUGCGGCUACGAGUAUUAUAAACGCCGAGUCUACGCAACAUAUACAGAGUGACUUUUAAUAAAAUCAUUGAUUACCUCCCUUUUAUUAAUAUGUGCAAUGCUUAUGACUUAUGUGAAACAAAAAAUGAUUUAAAUAAAUAUAAUGUCUGUCAUUGUAAAUUUAAAAAAUAUCACUUUUAAAGAAGCUAAAGUAUUCAACAAGUAAAAGAAGUUCUUUGAAAUUGUAACAAUGCAUAGCUAGUAUCGGGAGAUAAAUGUUUCACUCUGUAUGCAAAAAUAUCAUGUAGCCAAACACCAUCUCCUGCACAACAGGUUGUUAAUUCCUCUCUGUAAGAUCCACGGCGGUGGGCUUCAUUAAAAAUUGAACUGGCCAGAAUAUCAGAGAGAAGAAUAAAUUUAAUACGUAUGAGCCAUUAAUUAGCGGUCCAAUUGCUGAUAUUCUUAUUAUACAAGGAGGGCGUAACGUACGUAGAAUGUGCUUCCAAAAAAAACCUUCGUAACUACAUCGAUUUGUUUGCUACGUUUGUAUGGGAAAUAAAAACUAACAACAUUAUACGCGCAAAACCUAUAUAAUACGUUUAAGUAUGGUAAAGUGCAAUCAUAUAUUUACAUAAAAAUGUCCAUAAUUCAUAUAUACCUGAAAGGCUAAAGAAUACAAGCAGAAACCGAGAAUAACAAGCCAGAGUCCAAAGACAUCGCCAGGACCAGUCUUGAAUCGAGCAACAACUCUAUAUCCUCACUGGAAUAAACUAUGUUUACCACAAGAAUCAGCGAAAAAAUAAGAAGAUACUACGCUUAGACAAGUCGAACGAUCCCGCUAAUAUCAAUCACUACAUCGAAAAAGUUCAAUAGCACUAGUUUUUCAUCGAACGAUCUUAACUUAUCCUAAAUCCCACAAAUCUAUCUACAUUCGUCUUGGGACAAGGAAUGCCCCAAUGGAACUCGUUCUGGGUUACAGAAUCCUAUCUACGUCUAAACGACAAUUCAAACUUUAGUGAUUUAUUUGCAACAAUUGCGUCGAGUAGUAAUUCGGAAACUGAAUUUGAGGAUUGUAUAGAUAUGUUAAAUUAAUUUGAAAGGAAUUCUCUUCGUGAAGGACUAAAGAGAGGAGAACAUGGCAAGAAAAACAAUUAACUCUACACAGACACAUUUACAGCUGCCGGGUUUCGCGAGCAAUGAACUCAUGGGAAACAUUAAAAUAUUUUCGGAAAAGAAGGAGACACAUAUUUUACUUACUCCAACGUUAUAUUUAUUUUAAACGUACAGCUUUAAAGUACAAAAUAAAUAUUUGCUUAAACAAGAGAUACGUAAUUGUCAAAUGGAUUUUCUGCCUUCUUCUAUUGACGCAUAUUUAUUUAAACUUAAGGAUCACCCUUUCUUAUGCUAAUCCUGUGCUUCCUACGUAUCUCAGCUCAUUGUAUGCAUAUUGAAACUACAUUUAUAUAAGUAUGUAAUGUGUAAAGAUUAAAGGCACAUCAAACGUGAAAAACAGAAAAAAUGUUAAUACAGGCACAUAUGUAUAUCUCGGAAAUAAUAUCUUUGACAAAGAAUUCGUGAACAAUGUGCAAUAGACUUCUGUAUCAUACACAUAGCUCGAGGAAUUUUUUAAAAGAAUUUUUCUAGGCACGCACAAUGUACACCAGAUCGGACAGAAAACAAGAAAUGGAGUACGCAGUCUUUUUCCCCGAGGACGAUCUAGAUUACAGAAUAAACCGCGCAUUACGAAGGGGACCGCAUUUUCUCAGGUUAUCUGUGUAUACGUUUGGUACAAACAGAAAAGAAAUUUCUUCUCUGGUACAAGACAAGAUUUCCAUACGACUUUAUUUCAGAAACGUCUAUUGGGUGAUCCUAUACGGUAUUAUGUUUCUUUGCAAUGAUGUCACAGAAAAAAAUACCAAAUAAA